AGCGAACGCUGGCGGCAGGCCUAACACAUGCAAGUCGAGCGCCCCGCAAGGGGAGCGGCAGACGGGAGAGUAACACGUGGGAACGUACCCUUCAGUUCGGAACAACCAAGGGAAACUUUGGCUAAUACCGAAUACGUCCGUAAGGAGAAAGAUUUAUCGCUGAAGGAUCGGCCCGCGUCUGAUUAGCUAGUUGGUGGGGUAACGGCCCACCAAGGCGACGAUCAGUAGCUGGUCUGAGAGGAUGAUCAGCCUCACUGGGACUGAGACACGGCCCAGACUCCUACGGGAGGCAGCAGUGGGGAAUAUUGGACAAUGGGCGCAAGCCUGAUCCAGCCAUGCCGCGUGGAUGAUGAAGGCCCUAGGGUUGUAAAGUCCUUUCGGCGGGGAAGAUAAUGACGGUACCCGCAGAAGAAGCCCCGGCUAACUUCGUGCCAGCCGCCGCAGUAAGAC
rnacentral:rRNA from 1 species